CCAAUAGCGUAUAUUAAAGUUGUUGCAGUUAAAAAGCUCGUAGUUGAAUUUCGGGAUCAGUUGGUCGGUCGUGCCUUGGUACGUACUGGCCAAAUUGAUUCCUCCCUUCUGACGAACCACGAUGCCAUUAAUUUGGUGUCGUGGGGAAUCAGGACUGUUACUUUGAAAAAAUUAGAGUGUUUAAAGCAGGCUCGCGCUUG
rnacentral:rRNA from 1 species